rnacentral:rRNA from 1 species
AGAGCGAACGCUGGCGGCAGGCCUAAUACAUGCAAGUCGAACGGAUCCUUCGGGAUUAGUGGCGGACGGGUGAGUAACACGUGGGAACGUGCCCUUUGGUUCGGAACAACUCAGGGAAACUUGAGCUAAUACCGGAUAAGCCCUUCGGGGGAAAGAUUUAUCGCCAUUGGAGCGGCCCGCGUCUGAUUAGCUAGUUGGUGGGGUAAAGGCCUACCAAGGCUACGAUCAGUAGCUGGUCUGAGAGGAUGAUCAGCCACACUGGGACUGAGACACGGCCCAGACUCCUACGGGAGGCAGCAGUAGGGAAUCUUGCGCAAUGGGCGAAAGCCUGACGCAGCCAUGCCGCGUGAAUGAUGAAGGUCUUAGGAUUGUAAAAUUCUUUCAGCGGGGACAUAAUGACGGUACCCGCAGAAGAAGCCCCGGCUAACUUCGUGCCAGCAGCCGC